UACGUAGGGCGCGAGCGUUGUCCGGAAUCAUUGGGCGUAAAGAGCUCGUAGGCGGCCUGUCGCGUCUGCUGUGAAAUCCCGGGGCUCAACCCCGGGCGUGCAGUGGAUACGGGCUGGCUGGAGGCAGGCAGGGGAGAACGGAAUUCCCGGUGUAGCGGUGAAAUGCGCAGAUAUCGGGAGGAACACCGGUGGCGAAGGCGGUUCUCUGGGCCUGCACUGACGCUCAUGCACGAAAGCGUGGGGAGCAAACAGG
rnacentral:rRNA from 1 species